GAUGAACGCUGGCGGCGUGCCUAAUACAUGCAAGUCGAGCGAACAGAUAAGGAGCUUGCUCCUUUGACGUUAGCGGCGGACGGGUGAGUAACACGUGGGUAACCUACCUAUAAGACUGGGAUAACUUCGGGAAACCGGAGCUAAUGCCGGAUAAUAUUUCGAACCGCAUGGUUCGAUAGUGAAAGAUGGUUUUGCUAUCACUUAUAGAUGGACCCGCGCCGUAUUAGCUAGUUGGUAAGGUAACGGCUUACCAGGGCGACGAUACGUAGCCGACCUGAGAGGGUGAUCGGCCACACUGGAACUGAGACACGGUCCAGACUCCUACGGGAGGCAGCAGUAGGGAAUCUUCCGCAAUGGGCGAAAGCCUGACGGAGCAACGCCGCGUGAGUGAUGAAGGUCUUCGGAUCGUAAAACUCUGUUAUUAGGGAAGAACAUACGUGUAAGUAACUGUGCACGUCUUGACGGUACCUAAUCAGAAAGCCACGGCUAACUACGUG
rnacentral:rRNA from 1 species